UACGUAGGGUGCAAGCGUUUGUCCGGAUUAUUGGGCGUAAAGAGCUCGUAGGCGGUUUGUCGCGUCGGAUGUGAAACCCAGGCUCGAACCCUGGGCCUGCAUUCGAUACGGGCAAGACGUAGAGUAUGGGCAGGGGAGACUGGGAAUUCCUGGGUGAUAGCGGUGAAAUGACGCAGAGUAUCAGGAGGGAACAACCGAUGGGCGAAGGCAGGUCUCUGGGCCGACUAACUGAC
rnacentral:rRNA from 1 species